CUGAACAAAAACAAAGAAAACAGUAGAUGGGGACACUGUUAGAAUCAGAAGACAAUGUUAAAUAUAAAUAUUGAGGCUUAUUAGUACCAACAUAUAAAUAUUAUAAAAUUUCCUGUGAAUAGCCGCUUUCCUCCUGCAAUCACAGGACCAGUCUGAGUGAGAAUCUCGUACUCCCACCCCCCCUGUAGACCGGUGGGGGUUAUCCCGGUCCCGUGCGUUCCUAAC